GAGGAUAUCUGACUAGCUCUAGAUCAAGAAACCGACAAGGAGUUUAUAUGGAUGUCAUAGCAGAUCUGAGGAUUCAAGAAUGCGUCUAGGUCGAAUUUUUGGCCAAUUGCAACAUUUGGAACAUUAAAGUACCAUUGGUUGUUUUUGCUACGAUCAAAUUGCAUGAAUCUAACCGAGUUAUACGACAGUUUGGGUGUACACAAUGUAUUCCACUGCUACUUAGGAGCUUGAUAACCUCAACAAGAUUGACUUGCGAGGGAGACACAAGGAAUACCAACAUGUCACAAGAAGUAUAUCAAGAUGUGGGAGUGUAGAUUCAUAGAAGAGAAGCCAAUGUUGUUGUAGGAGGCCAAUACAAGAGCCCAUCAAUCCUAGAUCGUGAGAUGAAGAUGCGGCGGGAUUGACAUCUGCUCCAUCUACAUUGGAGGACCCUAUUGCUGUGCAACCUCUCGAUUAGUGUGGUUUAUUUAUUAUUUCUUUUAACCUAGUUUUUUUUUUCUCAACCAUCACAACACGCACAUUCAUUUCCCAUAUCAUCACCUUCAGUUCCUAUUUAUUUUAUACAACCACCAUAGCAUGCACAAUCAUUCAAUGUAUCAACAUAUUUAGCACCAAUUUAUUUUACACAAGCACCACAGCACGCCCCAUCAUUCCCUGCAUCAACACUUUCUUCAAGGAUAUAUUAUGCACGAUCGUCACCCAGUGUUCCAUAUUACAUGCUGAUCCCGCCAUCAACACUGACGUAUCUGGUAUCGUCCUCAAUUCCCAUCUUCUAUCCAUAAUUAGGCCAGACGACACCACAUAGUGGCCAAUCGAUAGUGUCGCAGACACUCCCAACAUAAUUGUUCUACCGAGGUGGGUCAUCCUUGCAACCAUUAACUCAACUCAGGGGGGAUCCACAAAAGGCGGCUAGGAUACGGUCGAGUUCAACCACGAAGGAAGAGAUGAUGUCAAUGAUCAACCUCUUCGUGCACGUCAAGGUGAAGUUGAAGUCGACGAGUAGCUGUCAAACACAAUAGUGCAACAGAACCCUAGGUGUUCUCGACGCCCACUUGGUUGUAGCACACAUUCGGGACACUCAUGAUUACGUUAUUUUGUAAUUUUUUUCAUAUUUUGUUUUACAUCUGAAAUGCACACUUAUUUACAAUGUACGAAACAAAUUUAUUAAACUACUACGAAACAAAUUUAUUAAACUAGUUUGGUUUGUAUGCAAUCAAA